rnacentral:rRNA from 1 species
GGGGAAUCUUGGACAAUGGGCGCAAGCCUGAUCCAGCCAUGCCGCGUGAGUGAAGAAGGUCUUCGGAUUGUAAAGCUCUUUUACCAGGGACGAUAAUGACGGUACCUGGAGAAUAAGCCCCGGCAAACUUCGUGCCAGCAGCCGCGGUAAUACGAAGGGGGCUAGCGUUGUUCGGAAUUACUGGGCGUAAAGCGCACGUAGGCGGGUUAUUAAGUCAGGGGUGAAAUCCCGGAGCUCAACUCCGGAACUGCCUUUGAUACUGGUAAUCUAGAGAUCGGAAGAGGUUAGUGGAAUUCCCAGUGUAGAGGUGAAAUUCGUAGAUAUUGGGAAGAACACCAGUGGCGAAGGCGGCUAACUGGUCCGAUACUGACGCUGAGGUGCGAAAGCGUGGGGAGCAAAC